UACAGUGAGCAUUUUACACCUCUUUAG
rnacentral:piRNA from 1 species